AGCAGCACUAGCGUAAUGGUUAGCGCACUAGUUUGCCAUACUGGGGGUAGGGGUUCGAUUCCCCUGUGCCGCUA
rnacentral:tRNA from 1 species